UAAGCAAUUUAUACCGUGAAACUGCGAAUGGCUCAUUAAAUCAGUUAUCGUUUAUUUGAUAGUACCUUACUACUUGGAUAACCGUGGUAAUUCUAGAGCUAAUACAUGCUAAAAACCCCAACUUCGGAAGGGGUGUAUUUAUUAGAUAAAAAACCAAUGCCCUUCGGGGCUCUUUGGUGAUUCAUGAUAACUUAACGGAUCGCAUGGCCUUGCGCCGGCGACGGUUCAUUCAAAUUUCUGCCCUAUCAACUUUCGAUGGUAAGGUAUUGGCUUACCAUGGUUUCAACGGGUAACGGGGAAUUAGGGUUCGAUUCCGGAGAGGGAGCCUGAGAAACGGCUACCACAUCCAAGGAAGGCAGCAGGCGCGCAAAUUACCCAAUCCCGACACGGGGAGGUAGUGACAAUAAAUACUGAUACAGGGCUCUUUUGGGUCUUGUAAUUGGAAUGAGUACAAUUUAAACCCCUUAACGAGGAACAAUUGGAGGGCAAGUCUGGUGAGCGAAUGCAGCUCUUUUGCUGACGCCAGACAGAGUGGCUGCCCGGACACGGGCGCUGCUAGUCGAGCACCUGCAUGCGUGAUGGGAAGGUGUCGGCAAGGUAACCUGGUACGAGAGAGCCUGCGGGGGGGACUAGCAUGCGUAGUCCUGCUCUGGCAAUCCCGUGGCGAGCUUCGCACGAAGCCGCUGUAACGCGCGCAAAGGUACCGGCUCCGCAGCACUGCGGGGCUCAAGGGACGCGCUGAUUCCCAUGCGAAAGCAUGUUCUGCGCCACGGACACCCAUCAUGUCCGGGCGCAGAAGACCCCGCCGUGGGUUGGAUUGCGGGCGCUCCGGCGCCGCGCACAACAAGGCCAGCAGCCGCGGUAAUUCCAGCUCCAAUAGCGUAUAUUAAAGUUGUUGCAGUUAAAAAGCUCGUAGUUGAACCUUGGGCCUGGCUGGCCGGUCCGCCUCACCGCGUGUACUGGUCCGGCCGGGCCUUUCCUUCUGGAGAGCCGCAUGCCCUUCACUGGGUGUGUCGGGGAACCAGGACUUUUACUUUGAAAAAAUUAGAGUGUUCAAAGCAGGCCUUUGCUCGAAUACGUUAGCAUGGAAUAAUAGAAUAGGACGUGCGGUCCUAUUUUGUUGGUUUCUAGGACCGCCGUAAUGAUUAAUAGGGAUAGUCGGGGGCAUCAGUAUUCAAUUGUCAGAGGUGAAAUUCUUGGAUUUAUUGAAGACUAACUACUGCGAAAGCAUUUGCCAAGGAUGUUUUCAUUAAUCAGUGAACGAAAGUUAGGGGAUCGAAGACGAUCAGAUACCGUCGUAGUCUUAACCGUAAACUAUGCCGACUAGGGAUCGGGCGAUGUUAUUCUUUUGACUCGCUCGGCACCUUACGAGAAAUCAAAGUUUUUGGUUCUG
rnacentral:rRNA from 1 species